rnacentral:rRNA from 1 species
UACGGAGGGUGCAAGCGUUAUCCGGAUUCACUGGGUUUAAAGGGUGCGUAGGUGGGUUCGUAAGUCAGUGGUGAAAUCUCCGAGCUUAACUUGGAAACUGCCAUUGAUACUAUGAGUCUUGAAUAUUGUGGAGGUCAGCGGAAUAUGUCAUGUAGCGGUGAAAUGCUUAGAUAUGACAUAGAACACCAAUUGCGAAGGCAGCUUACUACAGGGAUAUUGACACUGAGGCACGAAAGCGUGGGGAUCAAACAGG